rnacentral:rRNA from 1 species
UAGGGAAUCUUCGGCAAUGGGGGCAACCCUGACCGAGCAACGCCGCGUGAGUGAAGAAGGUUUUCGGAUCGUAAAGCUCUGUUGUAAGUCAAGAACGAGUGUGAGAGUGGAAAGUUCACACUGUGACGGUAGCUUACCAGAAAGGGACGGCUAACUACGUGCCAGCAGCCGCGGUAAUACGUAGGUCCCGAGCGUUGUCCGGAUUUAUUGGGCGUAAAGCGAGCGCAGGCGGUUUGAUAAGUCUGAAGUUAAAGGCUGUGGCUCAACCAUAGCUCGCUUUGGAAACUGUCAAACUUGAGUGCAGAAGGGGAGAGUGGAAUUCCAUGUGUAGCGGUGAAAUGCGUAGAUAUAUGGAGGAACACCGGUGGCGAAAGCGGCUCUCUGGUCUGUAACUGACGCUGAGGCUCGAAAGCGUGGGGAGCGAACAGGAUUAGAUACCCUGGUAGUCCACGCCGUAACGAUGAGUGCUAGGUGUUGGAUCCUUUCCGGGAUUCAGUGCCGCAGCUAACGCAUUAAGCACUCCGCCUGGGGAGUACGACCGCAAGGUU